rnacentral:rRNA from 1 species
AGUCGAACGCACUUUCGUUAAUUGAUUUUGAGAUGCUUGCAUCGAAGAUGAUUUUAACUAUAAAGUGAGUGGCGAACGGGUGAGUAACACGUGGGUAACCUGCCCAGAAGUGGGGGAUAACACCUGGAAACAGAUGCUAAUACCGCAUAACAAAAUUAACCGCAUGGUUGAUUUUUAAAAGAUGGCUUCGGCUAUCACUUCUGGAUGGACCCGCGGCGUAUUAGCUAGUUGGUGAGAUAAAGGCUCACCAAGGCAGUGAUACGUAGCCGACCUGAGAGGGUAAUCGGCCACAUUGGGACUGAGACACGGCCCAGACUCCUACGGGAGGCAGCAGUAGGGAAUCUUCCACAAUGGACGCAAGUCUGAUGGAGCAACGCCGCGUGAGUGAUGAAGGCUUUCGGGUCGUAAAACUCUGUUGUUGGAGAAGAACGUGUGUGAGAGUAACUGCUCAUGCAGUGACGGUAUCCAACCAGAAAGCCACGGCUAACUACGUGCCAGCAGCCGCGGUAAUACGUAGGUGGCAAGCGUUAUCCGGAUUUAUUGGGCGUAAAGCGAGCGCAGGCGGUCUUUUAAGUCUAAUGUGAAAGCCUUCGGCUUAACCGAAGAAGUGCAUUGGAAACUGGGAGACUUGAGUGCAGAAGAGGAGAGUGGAACUCCAUGUGUAGCGGUGAAAUGCGUAGAUAUAUGGAAGAACACCAGUGGCGAAGGCGGCUCUCUGGUCUGCAACUGACGCUGAGGCUCGAAAGCAUGGGUAGCGAACAGGAUUAGAUACCCUGGUAGUCCAUGCCGUAAACGAUGAAUGCUAAGUGUUGGAGGGUUUCCGCCCUUCAGUGCUGCAGCUAACGCAUUAAGCAUUCCGCCUGGGGAGUACGACCGCAAGGUUGAAACUCAAAAGAAUUGACGGGGGCCCGCACAAGCGGUGGAGCAUGUGGUUUAAUUCGAAGCUACGCGAAGAACCUUACCAGGUCUUGACAUCUUCUGCUAACCUAAGAGAUUAGGCGUUCCCUUCGGGGACGGAAUGACAGGUGGUGCAUGGUUGUCGUCAGCUCGUGUCGUGAGAUGUUGGGUUAAGUCCCGCAACGAGCGCAACCCUUAUUAUUAGUUGCCAGCAUUAAGUUGGGCACUCUAAU